UACGGAGGGGACUAGCGUUGUUCGGAAUUACUGGGCGUAAAGCGCGUGUAGGCGGGAAGAUAAGUCGGGUGUGAAAUCCCUGGGCUCAACCUAGGAACUGCAUUCGAAACUGUCUUUCUGGAGUGAUGGAGAGGAAAGCGGAAUUCCUGGUGUAGCGGUGAAAUGUGCAGAUAUCAGGAGGAACACCGGUGGCGAAGGCGGGUCUCUGGGCCGAUACUGACGCUGGAGGAGCGAAAGCGUGGGGAGCGAACAGG
rnacentral:rRNA from 1 species